CUAGGCUUUAGAUUGUUAAAUUGAAUUUAUGAUAUCUAAUAUAUAUUUAGAUUAAAAUGAAACAUCAUUGAAGUCAAAAUCGCUAUUCGGCAAAAAAAGGUGCAAGUUUAAUUGAUGCCUGAAAUGAUUCUAUUUGAUAAAAAAAAAAGCACAACUAUGACUUCUAUCAAGAUUUGUGAAGUAAAUCAUAACAGUAUGUUAACAUGACGACAGGCAAACAUUCUUCACAUAACUGUUUAUAUUCAGACUGUUCAAAAAUAUAAUAAAACAUAGCCACUUUUUUGUUUCUACCAAAUGAACAACAGUAUAAAGCAUAUAAGGAAAAUACCAUAUACUCCGAGAAAAAUUCUAUACAGAAAAGUACUAAAGCUAAUGGCAAAAUCAAAAACUCAAAC
rnacentral:lncRNA from 1 species